rnacentral:misc_RNA from 1 species
UCAUCUCUUUGGUCAUUGCUCCCCUGUCAACUCUUUCUAAUUGGAUGAAUGAGAUAGAAAGGUUUGUCCCAUCCAUUAAUGCAAUCAUCUACCAUGGAAACAAGAAACAAAGAGAUGAGAUAAGGAGGAAGCAUAUGCCAAGGACCAUAGGUCCCAAAUUUCCAAUUGUACUUACCUCUUAUGAGAUUGCAAUGGUUGAUGCAAAG